CCCUUUGCAACAGGCGACCACCGCCCCUAUAUAUGAACUGUCCUUCGGGACUAUGAACAUAAACGCGCUCGUAAUAAGCGGAUCGGACCCGGGGGCGGUACCCGGCGUCUCCACCAACACACCCUCAUUUGGGGUAGGACGGGGACGAAAUAGGAUCGACGAACGUCUAAAGGGGUUAGCUUUGUUUCGGUGAGUUACCACCGUUAUCGGUACGUUUUAAGCUAGUUGCAAAUGACAACAAUGCUCAGGUUGCUCUCGCUGCGUAAGCAGUGCGAAAUACCGAAACUUAAGCCCCUACGCUUUGCAGCCUAGGGCGGGGUUCGCAGGUACCUGGCAACAGAAACCUGCACU
rfam:Octadecabacter temperatus strain SB1, complete genome.